CCUACGGGAGGCAGCAGUGAGGAAUAUUGGUCAAUGGACGAGAGCCUGAACCAGCCAAGUCGCGUGAAGGAUGACUGCUCUAUGGGUUGUAAACUUCUUUUAUAAAGGAAUAAAAUGAGGCACGUGUGCCUUUUUGUAUGUACUUUAUGAAUAAGGAUCGGCUAACUCCGUGCCAGCAGCCGCGGUAAUACGGAGGAUCCGAGCGUUAUCCGGAUUUAUUGGGUUUAAAGGGUGCGUAGAUGGUUUGUUAAGUCAGCGGUGAAAGUUUGUGGCUCAACCGUAAAAUUGCAGUUGAUACUGGCAGACUUGAGUACAGUUGAGGUAGGCGGAAUGCGUGGUGUAGCGGUGAAAUGCAUAGAUAUCACGCAGAACCCCGAUUGCGAAGGCAGCUUACUAAACUGUAACUGACACUGAUGCACGAAAGUGUGGGGAUCAAACAGGAUUAGAUACCCCAGUAGUC
rnacentral:rRNA from 1 species